GUUUUAACAUGCUCUCUUUUUGGUCAUUUCAAAUUGUAUUUGCUUUAGGACACCUACCUAAUGACAAGCUUAACUAAGCGUUUGUGAUUUAAUUAAAAGAAGUGUAUGCAUUACCUUCUGAUAAAAUUGAUUCUUCAGAUUUGGUACAAUGAAUAAAGCACUGAUGGCAAUGGGUACCCGUGAAUUUUAAAAUAUUAGACCCAAACUUGAACCCAAUAAGUGUAUUAACUACCUAAACC
rnacentral:misc_RNA from 1 species